rnacentral:lncRNA from 10 species
UUUGACUUGAGCCGCCUGACUGAGCAACUGGACACCUAUAUCCUCAAAAACUUUGUGGCCUUCUCUCGGACUGACAAGUACCGCCAGCUUCCAUUGGAGAAGGUCUACUCCCUCCUCAGCAGCAAUCGCCUGGAGGUCUCCUGCGAGACCGAGGUAUGACCCACGGCACAACCGCUGGUUCCAGAUCCAGUCCCUGCAGCAGGAGCACGCCGACCUGUCCGUGUGUGUUGUAGGCAGGUACAUCUACGCUGUGGCGGGCCGUGACUACCACAAUGACCUGAAUGCUGUGGAGCGCUACGACCCUGCCACCAACUCCUGGGCAUACGUGGCCCCACUCAAGAGGGAGCUGGGGAAGCAGCAGUUCUCCAGCUUGGCCACAGAGGGGCAGCCUUGGCUUUCAACCAGCUGCAUCGUGGCUGCCGGUGUUCCUUCAUGCACGCAUUCAUUCCGCAACUACUAAGCACCAUGUACCAAGUCCUGGGAAUCCAGUGGUGACAAGAAAUGAGAAAGACUCCCCACUCCAUGGUGUUUACAGCCUUGUAGGAGAAACCACUCUUAACCAGAAAACAGAUCAGUAAAGUGGUUACAAUUAUGGU